rnacentral:rRNA from 1 species
GACGGAGGGUGCAAGCGUUGUUCGGAAUUACUGGGCGUAAAGCGCGUGUAGGCGGCUUGCUAAGUCUGAUGUGAAAGCCCGGGGCUCACCCCCGGAAGUGCAUUGGAAACUGGCGAGCUCGAGUCCCGGAGAGGAGGGUGGAAUUCCUGGUGUAGCGGUGAAAUGCGUAGAUAUCAGGAGGAACACCGGUGGCGAAGGCGGCCCUCUGGACGGUGACUGACGCUGAGACGCGAAAGCGUGGGGAGCAAACAGG